CACUACAGCCAUGCCACCUUGAACAUGCCCAUCUCGUCUGAUCUCGGAAGCUAAACAGGGUUGGGCCUGGUUAGCAUUUGGAUGGGAGACCACCUAGGAACACCGGGUGCUGCAAUCU
rnacentral:rRNA from 1 species